GAUGAACGCUAGCGGGAGGCCUAACACAUGCAAGCCGAGCGGUAGAGUUUCUUCGGAAACUUGAGAGCGGCGCACGGGUGCGUAACACGUGUGCAACCUACCUUUAUCUGGGGGAUAGCCUUUCGAAAGGAAGAUUAAUACCCCAUAAUAUAAUGAUUGGCAUCAAUUAUUAUUGAAAACUCCGGUGGAUAGAGAUGGGCACGCGCAAGAUUAGAUAGUUGGUGAGGUAACGGCUCACCAAGUCAAUGAUCUUUAGGGGUCCUGAGAGGGAGAUCCCCCACACUGGUACUGAGGCACGGACCAGACUCCUACGGGAGGCAGGAGUGAGGAAUAUUGGACAAUGAGUGAGAGCCUGAUCCAGCCAUCCCGCGUGAAGGAUGACGGUCCUAUGGAUUGUAAACUUCUUUUGUACAGGGAUAAACCUACCCUCGUGAGGGUAGCUGAAGGUACUGUACGAAUAAGCACCGGCUAACUCCGUG
rnacentral:rRNA from 1 species